GCAGCAUUUCUUACCCCAGUAAGUCUCAGAAACUUGGUUUAUUGGUCCCUCUUUCAUUACAGUAAGGGGAAAACCAGGAUAAAAUCCAACAUCAGUCCACAUUUUGCUUCUUUGUUGAGUCCUUGCUGGAGGCCUGAGCUAUGAUUCAGUUCAAAGCUGAUGUCCUCUGCGCCAGCCAAACCUUGAAUAUUUGCUCUCCUCAUAGUGGAAAAACACAGUGUUCCUGUACCAGAUGGGGAGCUGAGCCCAUUGGGGGUGAGCCCCCCCUGUCCUCCUUUUAAGGGACUACACAGAUAACUGAGAUGUGGAGAGGGGCUGCUGCAUUCCUAGUGAAGUAUGGAUGCCUUGAAAAGAGUCUGCCGUUGUACUCACCCUUAUCUAGUGGCAGCAGAACAUACACUGUUUCCUGAAAGCGCCUGGUCAGUCUGGUGGAGCCAGUCCUGGACACGCUUCUUCAGCAUUCUGAGAGUAUUCAUGGUCUGUUAGUAGGCACUGAGGUAAUAUUGGUGUUGUUGCUCCAUAACUGCCCUCCAGCCAAAUCCAGCUUUAUAUGGUACAGGAUUUCUCAUCACAUAAAACACCGAAUAAAGAGCUUUGAUGCAACCUCUGGGUUUUUUGAAGUCAGCGAUGCUCUCUGCUGCAGAAACCAUGAUCCUGGAUGGGAUGGACACACCAAGAUGGGAUAGACAGACUAUGAUCUGACACACUGAAAGCAAUCACAUCAAAUUUAAAAUCAAGGAAAACUGGCAAGUUUAAACCUAAAGCUGUAAAGCUCUACUUGAAAACACCAGGUUAAUAAACUGUCAUAUUAUUUAACAUCUUUUGUUAGACACCUUUGCUUAACAGCUAUAAUACCCUGUGUGGGUAUCUUUCUACUGUGCAUUAGAAACAGUUAAUAAAAUCAAUAGAGGGAAGUGGAUUUCUGGUCCUGUAAUUCCAUUUCUUGAACAGUAAGAUAUAGAAAAAUAAUGAGUCAGAUUCUGCUUUCAAUAGCAAUUUGCUCUGCAAAGCACUGUUUUCUUCAGUGCAUUAUUAAGGGUAUAUGCAUUACCCAGCUGCAGAGUAUAAGAGGAUCAAUGCUGAGCAGAUAGCACUCUCUAAAUAGUAAGAGCUUUCCCUUUUAUUAACCAG